GCUUGUUUUGUUCCUGGAUUCUUCAGUGCUGAUGGCCUGCUGCACCCAGCAGAGUCGGAGUGAACCUACUGUAAGACAACAUCUCCAAGAUGCUAUUGACCACAAGACUAGUACAGGUUAUUAGAAACUGCACAGCACAGGACUUGCAGGACUUCAGAUGAUACCAGUACUCAAAAGACCUUAGAUGAUGGCAACUAUAGAUGGACAUACAAACUACCGCCACUGCAAAAAAGAUUCUAAUUUGAAAGAAGUUUAUAAUGCAUGUUCGCUACUCCCAAUUCAGAAGACUGAAUCAGCCUGUGUAUCUGAAUGAUUCUCAUACUCACUCCUCUCUGCCGCUUCUCACAGUGGAUACAUUUACAGAAGCCUGUUUCGUAAUGCUUGUUUAUACUCGGUAUACUCCAAACCGCAAGACUCUACGAGCGCAUCUGGCAAUAUGGACAAGGCUUGAUGCACGGCUGCAGCCUGUGUCAACUCACGCUUGUCUCUGUAUUUAACACAAAUGUAAAUUCAGUUUAACUGCAUUGCUAAUUUCACUUAGAAGAAAUGAAACAUUCAGCACAUUUUUCCACUUGUUCUUAAAAUCCUAAAUACUUA